UACAGAGGUCUCAAGCGUUGUUCGGAUUCAUUGGACGUAAAGGGUGCGUAGGCGGCGCGGUAAGUCGGGUGUGAAAUCUCGGAGCUUAACUCCGAGACUGCAUUCGAUACUGCCGUGCUUGAGGACUGGAGAGGAGACUGGAAUUUACGGUGUAGCGGUGAAAUGCGUAGAUAUCGUAAGGAAGACCAGUGGCGAAGGCGGGUCUCUGGACAGUUCCUGACGCUGAGGCACGAAGGUCAGGGGAGCAAACGGG
rnacentral:rRNA from 1 species